rnacentral:rRNA from 1 species
AAAGUGUCUGAAGCAAAUAGACAGCGGCACAAAAUGACAGCCAGGACUAACUGCGGGGCUAAAAUGAGGCUGAAGAAGGAAAAGGAUGGAACAUUUGUCAUAAAAGAGAUAGUCUGGGAACACAACCACAGGCUACAACUCACUCUGCAAAUGCUUGUCUUCUUGCACUCCCACAAAAACUUUGAAAAAACAAUCUUGGAGUACAUUAAGUACCUGCAGUUCAAAGGCAUUGAUCACACGCAAAUCAUGAGCAUACAGGGCGGUGAUGACCCUGGUAGGUACUUCCUCGAAAUGAAUUCCAAAGACCUGAUUAACCUGAAAGCAAAGAAUUCAAGGAUGGAUGAUGUGGACGAUGUCCUAAAGCUAAGGGAAUUCUUCUGUGACAUGCAACUCAAUGAGUCCGACAGAGUUAAUAACAUAUCCUGGGCGAAUGCAAGCUACCGAGGGGCCUUUCAGGACUUUGGUGACUGCGUAACAUUUGACACCACAUAUAAGACCAACAAGUACCAUAUGCCACUUGGGGUGUUUGUCGGUACUAACAACCACUUACAUACUACAUUCUUUGGUUUCGACCUGAUAAGAGAUGAGGAUGCAGAUUCAUUCAAAUGGUUGUUCAAGACAUUUUUAAGGUGCAUGAGAGGGAAGGCUCCUACAUGCAUCCUCACAGACUAGUGCCCGGCAAUGGCUUCAACGAUCCCAGAUGCCUUCAAGAACACAGUACACAAGCUGUGUCGCUGGCACAUUAUGAAGAAGUACAUGGAACACCUCGCAUACCUGUACAACCUGCACGAAGACUUUAAGGAUGAAUUCACAUCAAUCCUCAACUAGCCCCUCAUGCCAACUGAGUUUGAGGCUGCCUGGAAAAGACCGAUGGAUAAGUACAACCUCCACGAUGAUGCCACGAUGGUGGGCAUGUGGAAUGAGCGUGAGAGAUGGAUAUCAGCCUACUUCAAAGAAAUUUUCUGCGCCAAAAUGACAUCCACACAGCGAAGUGAGAGCAUGAACUAUGUGCUCAAGAAGAACUUCAUAAGUGAGAGACAAAACCUACACCAGUUUGUCAGCCAGGUAAACUCUUGCGUCAAAACCAGGAGGCAGGCGGAGAAUCAGGAGACAAUGGGUAACUGGGUAUAG